rnacentral:rRNA from 1 species
ACGCUCGACACCUACGGGAGGCAGCAGUGGGGAAUAUUGCACAAUGGGGGAAACCCUGAUGCAGCGACGCCGCGUGAGUGAAGAAGUAUUUCGGUAUGUAAAGCUCUAUCAGCAGGGAANAAAAUGACGGUACCUGACUAAGAAGCCCCGGCUAACUACGUUCCAGCAGCCGCGGUAAUCUGAGCGGGCUGGCAAGGC